CCAUCGAAGCUUUGACCUCAAAUCAGGUAGGACUACCCGGCCGAACUUAA
rnacentral:rRNA from 1 species